GUGUCAGCAGCCGCGGUAAUACGUAGGGUGCAAGCGUUAAUCGGAAUUACUGGGCGUAAAGCGUGCGCAGGCGGUUUUUUAAGACAGGUGUGAAAUCCCCGGGCUUAACCUGGGAAUGGCAUUUGUGACUGGAAGGCUAGAGUGUGUCAGAGGGGGGUAGAAUUCCACGUGUAGCAGUGAAAUGCGUAGAGAUGUGGAGGAAUACCGAUGGCGAAGGCAGCCCCCUGGGAUAACACUGACGCUCAUGCACGAAAGCGUGGGGAGCAAACAGGAUUAGAUACCCUAGUAGUCC
rnacentral:rRNA from 1 species